rnacentral:rRNA from 1 species
AAUGGGCGAAAGCCUGACGGAGCAACGCCGCGUGAGGGACGAAGGCCUCUGGGCUGUAAACCUCUUUUCUCAAGGAAGAAGAUAUGACGGUACUUGAGGAAUAAGCCACGGCUAAUUCCGUGCCAGCAGCCGCGGUAAUACGGGAGUGGCAAGCGUUAUCCGGAAUUAUUGGGCGUAAAGCGUCCGCAGGCGGCCUUUCAAGUCUGCUGUUAAAGCGUGGAGCUUAACUCCAUUAUGGCAGUGGAAACUGAUUGGCUUGAGUAUGGUAGGGGCAGAGGGAAUUCCCGGUGUAGCGGUGAAAUGCGUAGAUAUCGGGAAGAACACCAGUGGCGAAGGCGCUCUGCUGGGCCAUUACUGACGCUCAUGGACGAAAGCCAGGGGAGCGAAAGGGAUU